UUUAUUGGUUGUCUACCGUUGUAACUUUCGAAUUAGUUAAAUUACUUUACUUCUAUUCUAUUUUAUUUUAAAUAUAAGUUUUGAAGUUUAAUAUCAAAUCAAAUGAGAUUUAAAUUACAAAAAACGAAGUAAAGAUAAAGUGUCUGACGCAUGCUGAAGAAAGAGUAAAGGAUGUAUGUAUUUAGAAUUUAAUCUUCAUGUAUUGUUGAUUUUGUCUUCUUCACAUUAUUGACUCACCGCUAUGGGAUACAGCAUCAGAGAAGAAUUUUGUUUUUCUUCAGAAAUAAAUUUAUAUUGGCUGCCAUAUAAGCCUAUCAUGAUAUCAAGUUUCAACAAAAGCGUAACCUAUGUUGAUGAGCCUUCCUGAAAGCAGCUUGAUGCUUGAUGAGAUGAGUAAAAUCUUCCAAAGUGAAUCAGUGACACUAAUUUAACCGAGAUUAGCUUCCUUGCUAGAUUGAGGGUGGAUUUCCACCGGAGAUGUGCUAGGUAGCUAUGCUACAAAGAUGUAAUAACUAAGCUGAAAUAAUGUGACCAUUUCCAUUGAUGUUAAGCUAUGUAGCUGUGCAAGGACGAUGCGCAGCUGAAGCAACAUAUGAACAGUAGGGAAGGCUUCCAUAGCAUGAAUCUUACCAAUUAAAAAUCAUCGCUUAGCUUAGUCUGUUUCCACCAGUGCUAUGUUAUGUGUACCAAUGAAUAUGAUUGGUGGAAGCCAAAUGCAUCCACAGCAACGUAGCAUGUCUCUCUGGUGGAAAACACCCUGAAGAUGUAGAAAGAUGAACAUGCUGUUAUAAUAACUUAUGACUUUCAGUGUGUUUUGCAUAUUAGCUUUUUGUAUUUUCCAUAUUGCAUGCUUGUCAAUCAGCGUGGCCUGCAAAUUAAAGUUUGCUUCCAACUUGCUUAUCUGCAUAAUUAAAUCUAAUCAUUUUUUUAUGGAACACCAGAGUAGCCACAGGUGCGUUGCCAACCUUUUAAAAAGGAGUUUGCUCUAGGAUUUCUAUGUAAACUGUGUAUCUGCGGGCUAAGUUUAUUGAGUUUUGAGAUUAAUAAUUAGUUCUGAGUUGUGGUGUGGCACAGUUGGCGCUGCUUGGUCGUGGUCAAAUAAACUCUGUAGAACUUUAUACUUUAUACAUUGUGGGUAGUUUUGUGAUCUUUUAACUUAGAAAAAUGAGAGGUCUAUUAGUUUUAGAUAGUAUUUGUUAUAUUAUUAUUUAUCUCUUUAUUUAUAUUUAUAUAUUAAAAUAAACAUAAUAUUUAUUUAUAUUAAAUAUAAAAUUUAAACAUAUAAAAUGUUAUAUUACAAUACCUUUUUAUUUAUUUAUUUUAAUACAUAUACAAUUGUUUUGUGUUCAUUGUUUAAUUUUUUUUUAAUCUUUAUUAAAUCAAUUGAAGGGUUAAACACCAGUUGGUGCUGCUUGGUCGUUUUGGUAAGUUAAGACAUUGUAGUCUUGUAUUUAGCAAAUAUUUCAUUUAAUGUUGUUAUUCAGACUGAAGGUCGUCCAUUUUGGUCAUAUUUUGAUACUAUUGGCACAUGUGUUUACCUAUAUGUAAGUACUAAGUAGUCAUUGCCAUGUGUAGGUAUAGACAUGUUUUACCAAAACCAAAAUGUAUGAGGCAAAAGAAACACAAACAAGGAGAUUUUCAAAAUAGACAAACGAAUAGUUUUAAAACAUAAUUUUAUUAUAACAAAUUAAUAAGAUUACAACUAUGUAGGUAUUAGAUGAUUUCAGGUAAUCCUCAGGCUUCCAACGGCGGUAUGUCGUUAUCACGGUGGGUAGAAUGUUCUCGCAGUCUUCUACUUCAUCUAGUGUUUCGACUACCACAGUCUCGGCGUCGGAGUCAGCAACAUCUUCAUUAUCAUUGCUGUCGCACUCGUUGUUGUUAUCGACACAGUCCUGCUCACUGUCGCUGGUUUCCA